UACAGAGGGUGCGAGCGUUGUCCGGAAUCACUGGGCGUAAAGGGCGCGUAGGCGGUUUGGCAAGUCUAUGGUGAAAGCUCGCCGCUCAACGGCGAGUCGGCCACGGAUACUGCUGAACUCGAGCACUGUAGAGGCAGAUGGAAUUCCCGGUGUAGCGGUGGAAUGCGUAGAGAUCGGGAAGAACAUCAGUGGCGAAGGCGGUCUGCUGGGCCGUUUGCUGACGCUGAGGCGCGACAGCGUGGGAGCAAACGGG
rnacentral:rRNA from 1 species